AAUGCGUAGCACCUAACCUUGUUGUCAUCGUCUAAUCACUUUUCAUGAGAUGCUCUCUAAUCAACGGUCGGACGUGCUAGAAGAGGAGGAAGAUCCUGACCAAGAAUAUAGAUCAAUUUCUUAAAACUCAAAAUAAUUUUCAAGUUUUGGAGCCAAUCCUUAAAAUUUGAUCCGAUCAAGCUAUUGGUCUUAAGGAUUCUAGCUAGGA
rnacentral:lncRNA from 1 species